UGGGGAAUCUUGCACAAUGGGGGAAACCCUGAUGCAGCGACGCCGCGUGAACGAUGAAGCCCUUCGGGGUGUAAAGUUCUUUCGACAGGAACGAUAAUGACGGUACCUGGAGAAGAAGCUGCGGCUAACUACGUGCCAGCAGCCGCGGUAAUACGUAGGCAGCGAGCGUUGUUCGGAGUUACUGGGCGUAAAGAGUGCGUAGGCGGCGAGCCAAGUUUGGUGUGAAAUCUCCCGGCUUAACCGGGAGGGUGCGCCGAAAACUGGUUGGCUGGAGUAUGGGAGAGGAAAGCGGAAUUCCUGGUGUAGCGGCGAAAUGCGUAGAUAUCAGGAGGAACACCUGCGGUGUAGACAGCUUUCUGGAUCAAAACUGACGCUGAGGCACGAAAGCGUGGGUAGCAAACA
rnacentral:rRNA from 1 species